UGCCUGGGAAAGCUUCUCUGAACAAAAUGGUCUUCAACUCCAUUUUGAAGCUGGUUAAAAUUUUAUCAGCUAAAACAGGAGUGGAAUUCAUGUAGUCUUCCAGACUACGACUUCCAGCAUUCUUCACCACAGACUGUGAUUGCUAGAACUGCUGGGAUUUAUAAUCCAACAAAAUCUGAAGGUCUGCAGGACCCUCCCUUGACCUAAAGACAGUUGAUACCUCAUUGUUACAAAAAGAAGAAAGACUGGAUGUCUCGGCUUCAGACUUUCUGGGAAAGGAGACCUCAGAAUACUUCAGUACCUAAUUCCUCUCCUGAUGGCUUCUGUGGGGGCGCAGGUUAUGGUAUCAAUGCAGUCUGUUCUACGGUAUUGUUUAUUAUCCAAGAACCAGCCAGAGUCUGCAAGGCCACGGACCUGAAUCCCAGGAUAUCCCAUCUGUUCCAGCUGUUCAGCCACUCGGUCCACAUUCAAGAGCACCCCUGUUCCACCAGCACUGCAAGGAUAACAUCAGUUUUUCAGUGACAUGGACAACAUAACUGCCGUACUAUUCAAUACUAAUUACAGUAGGACUAUGAAGCUCUAAAUGUCUGACAUACUGUUCUGAAAAUCUGAAUUCAUGGAGCAUUCUAUACUGUCCUGUGCUACCAGAUUUUGGUGGACUGCAUUCUUUUUAUCCAAAUUCCUGAUUAAACACAUAUUGUCUACUCUAAAAAUAUUCCAGGUAUGUGAAGUUCCACACAAGACACUCAAGCACAUUCAUUUGUUAAAUGAUAUGACAUGAGAGAGUGCCACAAUGUUAAGGAAUUGAAAGUAUGUUAAUGACUCCAGUUCUUGAGAGCUUCAUGGUUCUUGCAUCCAUUCCAACUCUAGAAUUCCAUUCAAGGAAAGGUAAAACCUUCUACUCUAGAUGCUUGAAGGAAAAACCAAUGGUCAUCAAAAGAUCAUGCUUUAAACUAAGCACCUGUGCCACCUGCUGGACAAAGGGUGAGGGGAGGAAACUUCACACCAAAGCUUUGUCAUUUCAAAAUGUAAAAAACAAUUAAAUCCUGCUUGAUAUCAUAGCUUUAACUUUAGACAUCUGUGGCCCCUCACAUGGAAGCCUCCUUUUCUAGGAACCAUCACUACUGUACACACACACACACACACACAGAGUUUAAUGUCAGCAGCCAGGGUGAAUUCUACUGUCAAAUUUGCAGAUUUUUCCCUUUUUUCUCAAAACAACAAUACUGCUUCCCAGUGUUGGUGUUUACCUAUCAAGUCUCAAAUGGCCUGGGUCUCAGGUAACUGAAGAACUGCCUUCUAUCUCAUAUGCUUGUCUAAGGGCACAUCCCAAAUGAUGAAAAAGACCAGGAGUUCCCAGAUUUUGUUUCUGUUCUUUUCAAUUUUAUUUUGGAGAUCCAUACAUAUUUCAUUUAUUCCAGAAUGUAGUAUUUUCUGUCAACUGUUGGUAUGAUCAGAUACUUUUUUAUACCAGCUUGCAAAAUUGGAAAGAACAGAAACAAAAUCUGGGACUUUUCAAACAAACUGGAUGUGCCCUGAACUUUGAGUCUGUCAUCCAAAGCUCUUCUCCGUGUUUUCCUAACUGAAAUUGGAGUAGGAGGUGGCAAGGAACUUUAAUAGAGAUGGUCCCCCAUCUGUGGAAUGCACUCCCCAAAGUGUGACACCUAUGGACAAUUUUCAUGUCACUAUUCUGCAUGGGUCUAUGUGUCUGAAGGGGUAUUUUUAUUUGCCUGGGCAAUUUUGUAUGUAAAAUAUAUGAGCUUUAUUCUAUCUGUAUAAAUUACACAAAGAUUUAUUACUGCU